AAAAUUUUUUCCUCACCGAGAUUCUCGCUUUCUUCACUCUCUCUCUCUUUUAUCUCUCCUUCCUAAAUUCAUUCCAAGCUCUCUCCGUUUCUCUCUCUCUAAUUUUUUUUUAUUUUUAUUAAAUCCUUAAUCCCAUGACCGCCGGCCAUUUCGAUCCCACCACCUACAUUGUACGUGUUCUGCUUUUAUACGCAGAUCCAUCAUAAAACCAAACAACAAUCCAUCCCACAGAAAACUGAAGGACCCAAUGGCCGGAGCAGUAGCCGGCUGAGUCGACCGUUCAUCGGAGCUACUGCAAUUGCUCAACGACGUCGUGGGUGCGAGCAAAUUCGCCGACGGCGUUACCGGCGUUUUUCAGAAGGGCUGCACCUAUCUAAUCCGUCGGAUUACCCUCCUGACGCAUUUGUUCGAAGGGAUAAGGGUCUUUAAAGGCCGCAAAUUUGGACCGUCGGAUGCGUCGACUUCUUCCACGAAUUCCAGUCCGACAGAAUCCUUGGUAUCUGAACUGGUGGUCGCCCUCCAGGCCGCCAAGCGCCUCGUUUUGCUUGCCGGCAACUUCACUUCCAAUUUGGCCCCUCCCGGUCUCCACCAAUUACAAUGACGAAGCGAGCAAGAAGAUAAGCUUCCAAUUCCAAUGCGUGACGUGGAAAUUGGAGAAGGCGCUGGGCGACAAUACGUCGACAGUUCGACAUCUCCGAGGAAGUUGAAGAACAGAUUUUAGGUUGAAUUGGUUAGAGCCCAGUUGAGAAGAGCAAUAGAAAGAUAUGGGUCUUCCAUGAAAGAGAGAACGGUGUCGUUUCAUUCCCUCUCCUAGUCUCUGGUGGAGUCUGGAAAUGUAGAGAACAAUGCAACGACGAUUGGCAGUAUUCCCAAAAGCUUUAGUGCUGAUUCUGCUGAUGACAUUGUGAUUCGUAAAUCCGAAACCCUUCGUGCUGCUGACUCUGCUGAUGACAUCCAUGUUGAUGAUCGUGGCGAUAUCAAGAAGCCUGAUGCCAACUCAUCUGCAAUUCCUGACGAUUUUAUAUGCCCAAUAUCUUUGGAACUCAUGAGGGAUCCUGUUAUUGUGGCCACAGGUCAGGUGUGUGUGUGUGCUAAAAAUGCUAUCUUUUAUUCUUGUUUUUCGUUCAUCAGAAUUCAGGGUUUUCCUUUUAAUAGGUUGAUGCCUAAAAUUUGAUA